rnacentral:rRNA from 1 species
UGGGAAACGGAAGGGAACAUUACUGAGUUUACGCUCUACAACCCUUUGUGAACAUACCUACAACUGUUGCUCUCGGCGGGUAGGGUCUCCGCGACCCUCCCGGCCUCCCGCCUCCGGGCGGGUCGGCGCCCGCCGGAGGAUAACCAAACUCUGAUUUAACGACGUUUCUUCUGAGUGGUACAAGCAAAUAAUCAAAACUUUUAACAACGGAUCUCUUGGUUCUGGCAUCGAUGAAGAACGCAGCGAAAUGCGAUAAGUAAUGUGAAUUGCAGAAUUCAGUGAAUCAUCGAAUCUUUGAACGCACAUUGCGCCCGCCAGCAUUCUGGCGGGCAUGCCUGUUCGAGCGUCAUUUCAACCCUCAAGCUCUGCUUGGUGUUGGGGCCCUACAGCUGAUGUAGGCCCUCAAAGGUAGUGGCGGACCCUCCCGGAGCCUCCUUUGCGUAGUAACUUUACGUCUCGCACUGGGGAUCCGGAGGGACUCUUGCCGUAAAACCCCCAAUUUUCCAAAGGUUGACCUCGGAUCAGGUAGGAAUACCCGCUGAACUUAAGCAUAUCAAUAAGCGGAGGA